rnacentral:rRNA from 1 species
CCCUUAGAUGUUCUGGGCAGCACGCGCGCUACAAUGGUCUUCGCAAACGGAUGCAUUCUCGAAGGAGAAUGCCAAUCUUGGAAUCUAUGCCUUGGUCGGGACAGUUGCUUGCAAUUUUUCGACUCGAACCAGGAAUUCCUUGUAAUCGUGAUUCAUCACAUCACGAUGAAUACGUCCCUGCCCUUUGUACACACCGCCCGUCGCUCCUACCGAUCGAAGAGUUAGGUGAAUUGUUUUGAUCGAUAAGGUUUGACUAUGGUCAACUCUCGUUGUGAAAUUCUGUGAAUCUGACUGUUUAGAGGAAGGAAAAGUCGUAACA